CAUGCGGCCUAUGUGACAGUCUGCGGCGAGACGCGACGUAACGCGCACUUGUUUUGAGGGCGACCAGGUGCGACACCCAGAAGCGUAGAUUGUUGUGGGACAAAAAACAUUAACAUUAAAGAAAUCGCUUAUUAGUACAAAUAAGUUGGAAGAAUAUUGCUGUCUGUACUUUAAAUAUGAACUUUCAAGCAAAUUGUAACACAACUUCUCCAUGAUUUGAGAAGUAAUGACCAAAAUCACGUAGGACAUUUGUCGCGUAUAGCAUCGCGUCGCAUUACGUCGCCUCGUGUUGCGUCGCGUCGCGUCGCGUUCGUCGCUCACGCAGGACACCGCGUUACCGAGGAAGGACGUAUCGCUCGCUGUAGCGCCGCGUAAACUCGCCGGAGUUCGAAAAAUAUAGCGCAACCUACGCAUCUAACACGUUUUGAUACAAGAUAAUGAAAGCAUAUUUAAUUCAGAUUAUCAGACUCAAUCGGAUACCAGUACAAAUAAUAUGGAAAAUGAAGAUACAAUACAUGGAAGACGAAUUAUAGAUUUUAGUU